AUGUGUGUGUAUGUGUUACAUGUGUGUAUAUGGGCAUAUAGGUGUGUGUACGUGUUACAUGUGUGUAUAUGGGCAUAUAUGUGUGUGUAUGUGUUACAUGUGUGUAUAUGGGCAUAUAGGUGUGUGUACGUGUUACAUGUGUGUAUAUGGGCAUAUAUGUGUGUGUAUGUGUUACAUGUGUGUAUAUGGGCAUAUAGGUGUGUGUACGUGUUACAUGUGUGUAUAUGGGCAUAUAUGUGUGUGUAUGUGUUACAUGUGUGUAUAUGGGCAUAUAGGUGUGUGUACGUGUUACAUGUGUGUAUAUGGGCAUAUAUGUGUGUGUAUGUGUUACAUGUGUGUAUAUGGGCAUAUAGGUGUGUGUACGUGUUACAUGUGUGUAUAUGGGCAUAUAUGUGUGUGUAUGUGUUACAUGUGUGUAUAUGGGCAUAUAGGUGUGUGUACGUGUUACAUGUGUGUAUAUGGGCAUAUAUGUGUGUGUAUGUGUUACAUGUGUGUAUAUGGGCAUAUAGGUGUGUGUACGUGUUACAUGUGUGUAUAUGGGCAUAUAUGUGUGUGUAUGUGUUACAUGUGUGUAUAUGGGCAUAUAGGUGUGUGUACGUGUUACAUGUGUGUAUAUGGGCAUAUAUGUGUGUGUAUGUGUUACAUGUGUGUAUAUGGGCAUAUAGGUGUGUGUACGUGUUACAUGUGUGUAUAUGGGCAUAUAUGUGUGUGUAUGUGUUACAUGUGUGUAUAUGGGCAUAUAGGUGUGUGUACGUGUUACAUGUGUGUAUAUGGGCAUAUAUGUGUGUGUAUGUGUUACAUGUGUGUAUAUGGGCAUAUAGGUGUGUGUACGUGUUACAUGUGUGUAUAUGGGCAUAUAUGUGUGUGUAUGUGUUACAUGUGUGUAUAUGGGCAUAUAGGUGUGUGUACGUGUUACAUGUGUGUAUAUGGAGGGAUGGGCGCAGCGGGAUGAAGGAUGGGCACUGUGGAAUGGAGUGGAAUGAACACAUUGGGAUUGAAAGGGAUGGGCAUAUAGUGGGAUCGAGAGGGAUGGACAGAGAUGGACAGAGCAGGAUGGAGAGAGCUGGAUGCAAUGGGAUGGAGAGAGAUGGGCAUAGUGGGAUGGAUAGUAAUGGGCGCAGUAGGAUGGACGGAGUGGAAUGGAACAGGAUGGACAUGGGCACUGUGGAAUGGAGUGGAAUGAACACAUUGGGAUUGAAAGGGAUGGGCAUAUAG
rnacentral:lncRNA from 1 species